UACGUAGGGUCCGAGCGUUGUCCGGAAUUAUUGGGCGUAAAGGGCUCGUAGGCGGUUCGUCGCGUCGGGAGUGAAAACUCGGAGCUCAACUCCGAGCCUGCUUCCGAUACGGGCAGACUAGAGGUAGGCAGGGGAGAGCGGAACUCCUGGUGUAGCGGUGAAAUGCGUAGAUAUCGGAAGGAACAUCAGUGGCGAAAGCGGCUUCCUGGUCCAGCACCGACGUCAGGCACGAAAGCGUGGGGAGCAAACAGG
rnacentral:rRNA from 1 species